AUACGUAGGGGGCGAGCGUUGUCCGGAAUGAUUGGGCGUAAAGGGCGCGUAGGCGGCCCGGUAAGUCUGGAGUGAAAGUCCUGCUUUUAAGGUGGGAAUUGCCUUGGAUACUGUCGGGCUUGAGUGCAGGAGAGGUAAGUGGAAUUCCCAGUGUAGCGGUGAAAUGCGUAGAGAUUGGGAGGAACACCAGUGGCGAAGGCGACUUACUGGACUGUAACUGACGCUGAGGCGCGAAAGUGUGGGGAGCAAACAGGAUUAGAUACCCUGGUAGUCCACACUGUAAGCGAUGAAUGCUAGGUGUAGGGGGUAUCGACCCCUUCUGUGCCGCAGUUAACACAAUAAGUAUUCCGCCUGGGGAGUACGGCCGCAAGGUUGAAACUCAAAGGAAUUGACGGGG
rnacentral:rRNA from 1 species